AUUGAACGCUGGCGGCAGGCUUAACACAUGCAAGUCGAGCGGAGAUGAGGUGCUUGCACCUUAUCUUAGCGGCGGACGGGUGAGUAAUGCUUAGGAAUCUGCCUAUUAGUGGGGGACAACAUUCCGAAAGGAAUGCUAAUACCGCAUACGUCCUACGGGAGAAAGCAGGGGAUCUUCGGACCUCGCGCCAAUAGAUGAGCCUAAGUCGGAUUAGCUAGUUGGUGGGGUAAAGGCCUACCAAGGCGACGAUCUGUAGCGGGUCUGAGAGGAUGAUCCGCCACACUGGGGCUGAGACACGGCCCAGACUCCUACGGGAGGCAGCAGUGGGGAAUAUUGGACAAUGGGGGGAACCCUGAUCCAGCCAUGCCGCGUGUGUGAAGAAGGCCUUAUGGUUGUAAAGCACUUUAAGCGAGGAGGAGGCUACUGAGACUAAUACUCUUGGAUAGUGGACGUUACUCGCAGAAUAAGCACCGGCUAACUCUGUGCCAGCAGCCGCCGUAA
rnacentral:rRNA from 1 species